GGGCCCAUAGCUCAGCGGUAGAGCAGUCGGCUCAUAACCGAUCGGUCCCUGGUUCAAAUCCAGGUGGGCCCACCA
rnacentral:tRNA from 1 species